GUUCUCAUCAGUCUGCGUAUAAAUAACACGACUUUACACUUUCUUUUUGCGUGUAAUGCAUACGCCAAAUGCCAUUUUUGCGUGCAUAUGAUACGCCAAUCCUUCCCAUUAAUUUCGGUGGAGAGCAGAUGCGUCCAAAUAACACGCAUCAUCUUCAGCGGCAGUGACGUCACCAGCGAGGCUCGUUCAGUUCACCUGAUGCGCGUACACCUUCAAACAGGUAAGCAAGGUUACGUCGGAUUACAUACUCCACAACAACCUGUAAUCCAGCAGAUCUUUAAAGAAGCCAUCUCUUGUAAAAUCUCUCUCUCUCUCUCUCUCUCUCUCUCUCUCUCUCUCGCUCUGCUAGAAUUAACAGUUAACUCAACUCCACGCUCCCAAUGCUGAUAUUGAAGAAGCUGUCAAGGGGGCUGAACAAGUCCUUCAAAGGAUCAACCCUUCACAGGAAGGCCUGUCAUGAGAUUUGAAUUUGACCAUCUUGUGCAUUUAUGAAGAAGACCAAAAGCUGCAAAGGCAACACUUCCAAUGGUACGUCAGAUACAUUUUUCUCAGCAUUUGAUGUUUCUUAAAUUUUGGUUCACUUAGCCCAUCAGGAAGAACACUCAACAAAGAGCAUGUUGUAGUAGUAAUAAUUCAUCCAAUAAUCAUAUUAUAUUGCACAAGCGUACUUGUACAAAAUUCUACAACUUUUACUCCUACUGCUGUUAUUGGCCAUUACCACAGCUCCCAUCAGAUUGUGCCCAUUGUAAGAGUGUUUAUAUCAUGAAGUUUAAAUGAAGUCCAUUGUAUUCUUUAUUAAUCUUUACAAAUUGGUGCCGCCUCUUCCUGUUUCAACAGUACAUGAUAUCUGUCCACACCUCAUAGUCUGCCUUUCUUUCUAUGGUGAUGUUACUGAACACAUCUGUCUUAGAAGCAAGAGAAUGGAAAUCCUAGUUUAACUUUUCAAGUGCUAC